UUUACUAAUGUCUCAUUAAUCUACCCAUUGUAAAGUUAAAUAUUCACUUUUGACUGAUCUCAUUUACAGGGUGGCUAUUGCUGCACUGGUUCUUGUGACAAGAUACCAUCUGAUUUCUUGGAAAGAUUCAGGAUCUCCAGCUGGAUCUGACAGAAGCAGAGUACGGUAAACAGAAGAGGAACUAUUCAAGAGGCAGCGUACAGCAGGCGGUAUGUACAUAAGAAAAGUUAUGAAUUUAGGGUAGACCAUAGAUGGGGGUGGGCAAACGUUUUGGC
rnacentral:lncRNA from 1 species